rnacentral:misc_RNA from 1 species
GUAGGUGAACCUGCGGAAGGAUCAUUAACAAAUCUAACAAUAGUUUUGCUCACAGUGAAAGUCGCUCCCUUCUUGUAAGGGUGUGAUGGAAGCCGUGAUGCAAUACAAUUCACACAUACAGUGAUUGACACAUCAUGAUUACCAAGAAACUCUAAUUGUAAACAACUUUUAACAAUGGAUCUCUUGGCUCUUGCAUCGAUGAAGAACGCAGCAUCUGACUGACUGAACUGUAUCUCAUCUCGUAUGCCGU